rnacentral:rRNA from 1 species
GAUGAACGCUGGCGGCGUGCCUAAUACAUGCAAGUCGAGCGAACAGACGAGGAGCUUGCUCCUCUGACGUUAGCGGCGGACGGGUGAGUAACACGUGGAUAACCUACCUAUAAGACUGGGAUAACUUCGGGAAACCGGAGCUACUACCGGAUAAUAUAUUGAACCGCAUGGUUCAAUAGUGAAAGACGGUUUUGCUGUCACUUAUAGAUGGAUCCGCGCCGCAUUAGCUAGUUGGUAAGGUAACGGCUUACCAAGGCGACGAUGCGUAGCCGACCUGAGAGGGUGAUCGGCCACACUGGAACUGAGACACGGUCCAGACUCCUACGGGAGGCAGCAGUAGGGAAUCUUCCGCAAUGGGCGAAAGCCUGACGGAGCAACGCCGCGUGAGUGAUGAAGGUCUUCGGAUCGUAAAACUCUGUUAUUAGGGAAAAACAAGUGUGUAAGUAACUAUGCACGGCUUGACGGUACCUAAUCAGAAAGCCACGGCUAACUACGUG